ensembl:lncRNA
UACACAGUGUUGGCAUUUCUAGAUUUAGACUUAGACUAUGUUAUGUGAGUCCAUACCCACACACCAACAUGAAAAUCACAUAUAAGGGGUGUAUUGGCAUCUGUUUCACUUAAACCACUGCUUACUACUAACUAACAAUAUUCUCUAAUAACUCUAAUUCUAACAGAGUAUAUUGAAAGUUAACUUCUUUCAUGUGCUCAGUGGUACCCAUCCCUUGUGUGAGUUGUCACUGAGAGACCUCAGGAGCUGGGCUUAUCCCCAUAUCCAUUCUCAGACAUCUGUAUCGUCCGAAUGGAGCGGAGAAUAACGGUAACUGGGCUCCUCUACUAGCUUGACAUGCCAGAAACCACUUUUGACGUCACACACCAUAACCAUUUUGGCUUUGGACAGGUAUGAGAGUAUGUCUUUAAUGGUCGGUAGUGGGAAGUGACUGGGCUUUAACGCCUUGUUCAUAGGCCUCUCGGAUCAUUGCAUAAUCUUGGUAUCCCAUUCUGCUUUUAUUCAAUGACCAUCCCGUUGAUCCAGUCCGUGCUGCAUUCGACUGGGGUGGUGAUUCUUCUGCGUUGCAGGUCCUGCAGUUCAACCUUCAAUGGUGUCAUCAUGGCGACUGGGACACGUCUCUUUGGCAGCUGCACAGUCUCCACCGUGUUGUCUUCCUCAAUUUGAUAUUCUCCCUCAAGGCAGUCAUCACCAGUGAACACAUCAGCAUGAUAUGCUUUUAUCUGCCCCAUUGUCCACUGUCCUAUUGUGGGCUUCACAGAGGUAGCAAUGCUGUCUGUCGCCGGAAUGUUCUCAUAGUACACUUUUAUCAGUUUCAUGGCCUCACUGGCUCUUUUGCCAAGCAGUGGCACAGUAGUCUUUGUCUGGUCCAAUGGGUUUCUGAAUUCUUGGGUUCUUUAAUGUUAGUUAAAAUGUCCCCAGUGGCCUCAGUUUGCUUUGGUUGUACAGUACUAGAACACUUUUUGUGUCUUCAAAUUUUGUGUUUGGAUUAAGCAGAUCGAUCGGGAUGAUAUUGCAAGUGGAAACACAGUCAAUUUGGAAUUUCACAACAUCUUUGCCCAGAGGCAUGCCAG